rnacentral:tRNA from 1 species
GGCAGCAUGGCCAAGUGGAAAGAGCACAGGUCUGGCAACCAGAGGGCCUGGGUUCUAAUCCUAGUUCUGUCA